UACGGAGGAUCCAAGCGUUAUCCGGAAUCAUUGGGUUUAAAGGGUCCGUAGGCGGUUUGGUAAGUCAGUGGUGAAAGCCCAUCGCUCAACGGUGGAACGGCCAUUGAUACUGCCAGACUUGAAUUAUUAGGAAGUAACUAGAAUAUGUAGUGUAGCGGUGAAAUGCUUAGAGAUUACAUGGAAUACCAAUUGCGAAGGCAGGUUACUACUAAUGGAUUGACGCUGAUGGACGAAAAGCCCAGGGGGAGCAAAACGGGG
rnacentral:rRNA from 1 species